GGGCGCUUAGCUCAGCUGGUUAGAGCGCUACAUUUACACUGUAGAAGUCGGGGGUUCGACUCCCUCAGCGCCCACCA
rnacentral:tRNA from 2 species